rnacentral:rRNA from 1 species
AUUGAACGCUGGCGGCAGGCCUAACACAUGCAAGUCGAGCGGAUGAAGGGAGCUUGCUCCUGGAUUCAGCGGCGGACGGGUGAGUAAUGCCUAGGAAUCUGCCUGGUAGUGGGGGAUAACGUCCGGAAACGGGCGCUAAUACCGCAUACGUCCUGAGGGAGAAAGUGGGGGAUCUUCGGACCUCACGCUAUCAGAUGAGCCUAGGUCGGAUUAGCUAGUUGGUGGGGUAAAGGCCUACCAAGGCGACGAUCCGUAACUGGUCUGAGAGGAUGAUCAGUCACACUGGAACUGAGACACGGUCCAGACUCCUACGGGAGGCAGCAGUGGGGAAUAUUGGACAAUGGGCGAAAGCCUGAUCCAGCCAUGCCGCGUGUGUGAAGAAGGUCUUCGGAUUGUAAAGCACUUUAAGUUGGGAAGAAGGGCAGUAAGUUAAUACCUUGCUGUUUUGACGUUACCAACAGAACAAGCACCGGCUAACUUCGUG